rnacentral:rRNA from 1 species
UACGUAGGUGGCGAGCGUUGUCCGGAAUCACUGGGCGUAAAGGGCGCGUAGGCGGUUAAUUAAGUCAGGUGUGAAAACUUUGGGCUCAACCCAGAGACUGCACCUGAUACUGGAUAACUUGAGUGCAGGAGAGGACAGUGGAAUUCCUAGUGUAGCGGUGAAAUGCGUAGAUAUUAGGAGGAACACCAGUGGCGAAGGCGGCUGUCUGGACUGUAACUGACGCUGAGGCGCGAAAGCGUGGGGAGCGAACAGG